GCUUUCACCAUAGCAAGUAUAAAACAUAACCUAAAACAGUGAGUUUCAAGAUAAACCUGGAGAAGUUCUUAAAUGUCAGCUCACAAAGUAAUAUACAAUGUAGGUUAAUUCGCAACGCUAGGCAUUGCUUAGAUCGACAAUUUCCUGGCGAAUGGUCUUAUUCCCUGACCAACUCGCUUUCCGGACCUGAAUCCAUUCGAUUAUUAGUUCUGAGACGUUAAAAAUCUUUUGUUCGUAAAACUUCAAUCGACAGUGCUGAAAUUCUUCGUCAGCGUGACGACCAAAGUUGCCGACAAGUCCGCGUAAACAGUUGGGCAAUUUCGACGAUAUAUGACGCGAUGCAUUCAUGCUUCUAUGUGAGCUGUAUCUCUGAUUACUUGGAGCAAUCAGUCUGAACAUAGGUAAGCGACCAUUACAAUAUAAAAGAAGCUGUCACUCGAAAACUAGGUCAUAUCAGGUAUAUACGUUCACGCGGACUUUUCUUCUUACUUUAGCGUGUUGAAGCAGUCGCUGCUGCAUUAAUACACCCUGUGAACAGCUACAUACAUAUGUAACAACGUUCUCAGUGUGCCUAGCAAUGUGAUCUCCUUUGAUAUUACAAAGUGUAUCGGCGCUCGCUGUGUAACAUGUAACUUGCUGCAUAUGUAACAUAAUUGUAUAACGUGUUACACAGAAGUGUUGUGUAACGCGUCUUUUUUUAACGCGUUAUACAACUUUGCUGUACAAAGGUCCAAUAGCACGCAAGCAUGAGCUGAUUCUCUAUGAAAAAGUAAGAAGAAAACGUGGAUAAAAAUACAUAGAACGGUGGCUAAAGCGGAAUAUCCUCAGUAGGAAGGAAAAGGAGGCAGCCACGGGUUAAUUGCAAGUAGAAACUGCGGAAAAGGAGGGAAAUCGUUUGGAGGAGGAAGAAGGAAAAGGUGUUCUACGUAAUUUAAAAAUAGCCGCUUUAAAACACUCAUUGGAAGAUUGCUGGUAGAAACUACUGUUACUCCAAAACAAAAUCAUAUUUUUACAUAAACUUUUCUUCUUAUUUUAGCGUGCUAAAUCAGCUUCUGCCGCGCUUCACACGUAUUCUGACUCAUCUGUUCUGCGUAACACGAUUGAUAAGCAACUACGAUGAAUUCAAAGCAAACUACACGUUUA